CGUAAAAGAUCCGACUAUGAACGCCACGACGUGUGGCAACGUCGAAGACCCUGCGUCGUGCAGG
rnacentral:sRNA from 1 species